rnacentral:rRNA from 1 species
AAUGCCGCGUGAACGAGGAAGGUCUUCGGAUCGUAAAGUUCUGUUGAAGGGAAAAAGAGCGGAGAGAGGAAAUGGUCUCCGAUUGAUAUUACCCUUCGAGGAAGUCACGGCUAACUACGUGCC